AAAAAAAAAAAAAAAAAAAAAAAAAAAAAAAAACACGGCGCGCACCUGUAGAUACUACCAAAAGCUAAAUUGUCUCGAUCGCCACGAGAAUCAAAAUAAUACUCCUUAUCACUAGCAGCAGCUGAAUUAGCCCAAGUUCGAACAUCAGGUUUUCUGGAAGUAGGAGAAAGUGCAUAGUCAUAGCGUGGACGUUCAUCACUCGAUUUCUUCCUCUUCCUCCGCUUCUUCUUCCUCUUCUUCUUCUUACCCUCAUCAUCGUCAGAAGACGAGUGUCCCCGCUCCGAUGCGGACGAGUGCAGUAACUCAUACCGCGUACCUUCACUUUUCCGAUCUUCCUUCUCUACAUCUUCUCCUUGUUCGUCUUCCUCUAGGUUUUCCUGGAAAUGUAUAUUACCGUAGUUGUUUGAAACGGCGUUGUUUAUAACGGAGAUGUCGGUGGUGAAGCUGGAAUUUCGAAGCCAUUCAGGAACGGCGUCGUAUGAGGUGGACGGAUUGGGCGCUGAAGGUAUUUGAGUUUGGGGGAAAACGGGGAACAGCGAUGAAUUUUUUGGUGGUGAAGAUUUGAUUUCUUCCAUGGCGGUUUCUGUAUUCGUCUUCUCCAUUUGCUGGGGCCUAAUUCUGAUUGAUUUUACAGUGUUAUUUUCUCAAGCAAAUGCGAUGCAUGAAAUCCGUGGUUGCCUGGCGAUGGCUCGAGGGAUGAUUGAACAUGACCACUCGUAGCAGAAGUUAGAGAUGCAGCAACGCAGCGCGCUAAGAGAAGGGGGAAGAGGAGUGCACUGGAAUCGCAAAAAGAUUUCAUCAAGUGGAAUUUUGCAUUAUGACCAUCGAUGAAAAUGUCAGACGUGAAAAUAUAUGUUUCUGAUCUUCCAUCACUUUGAUACAUUGCUGCAAAUGAGGGAAGGCAACCAAAAUUGGAUAAACAGCUAUUUCACAAGCUAUGACUAAACACCUAAAAGAAUCAACACACAUCAUGUACAAACCAGCAGACAUCCCCUUCCAUCAAACAAGACAGAAAACCCUAAUGUUACAUAACAUUUGCAGGACUGCAUUCUCAGUUGGG